GUCCUGGUGGCGAAGUGGUUAACGCUACGGUUUGCAAAACCGUCAUUCGUGGGUUCGACUCCCACCCAGGACU
rfam:Candidatus Kaiserbacteria bacterium RIFOXYD1_FTLL_42_15 rifoxyd1_full_scaffold_893, whole genome shotgun sequence.